UUUUCAAUAAUACUUAAUUUUUUUUCAAGGUCGUUUCGAGAAUAUAUGGGAGAAAUAAAUUUGACGUUGAGAUAUAGUCUACAAAGACAACGAUUAAUAGUGGUAGUGCAUCGUGUAAAUAAUCUGUAUUACGAAGAACCCAAUGAAGAGAAAGAUAUCUACGUCAAGUUGUAUCUAUUACCAGAAAGAAGUAAGGCAACGAAAAGAAAAACCAGAGUCAUAAAAGGAUGCAAAAACCCAACCUUUGACAAGCGCUUUGAAUUUUUGGUUUCUCAAGACGAGCUCAAUUCCAAACACUUGGAAGUUACUGUGAUAGAAGAAAAAAUGAUAAAAAAUGAAAUAUUAGGACAGGUAAACAUGUACUUAUGACGCACUGUUUGGAACCUUUGAUGUAGUAAUGAAUAUUACAUAAAUUGACACAAUUUUUAAUGAAAUUUUGGAGACAUGUGUUCCUCUCAUAUGUAAUAAAACAAGGGCUUUCCCAAGCACGACAUCAGUCCUGAUGUCAGCCGCAGUAACAGAUGAAACGUUUGAGUAUGAGUAUGAUAAAUUGUACUGAAAGACGAGCUCAAUUCCAAACACUUGGAAGUUACUGUUAUAGAAGAAAAAAUGAUAAAAAAUGAAAUAUUAGGACAGGUAAACAUGUACUUAUGGUGCACUGUUUGGAACCUUUGAUGUAGUAAUGAAUAUUACAUAAAUUGACACAAUUUUUAAUGAAAUUUUGGAGACAUGUGAAUCUGUAAUGAAUAGAAAUGCCCCUAUUGAAAUAUGUUACCAUAACCCUAGCAGAACUCAAUCUACCCCACACUGGAAGUUUUGAUUUAGGUGCACGGGAUAAACAUGAAUAGAUCUUGUUACACAAUGUUAUAUUUAUUGUUGAUGAGAAUAUAUUACACAUAAAAUAUUUCA